GAAGCAACGCGAAGAACCUUACCAGGUCUUGACAUUCCGUUGACCACUGUAGAGAUAUAGUUUCCCCUUCGGGGGCAACGGUGACAGGUGGUGCAUGGUGGUCGUCAGCUCGUGUCGUGAGAUGUUGGGUUAAGUCCCGCAACGAGCGCAACCCUUGAUUUUAGUUGCCAUCAUUUAGUUGGGCACUCUAAGGUGACUGCCGGUGACAAACCGGAGGAAGGUGGGGAUGACGUCAAAUCAUCAUGCCCCUUAUGACCUGGGCUACACACGUGCUACAAUGGACGAUACAAACGGUUGCCAACUCGCGAGAGGGAGCUAAUCCGAUAAAGUCGUUCUCAGUUCGGAUUGUAGUCUGCAACUCGCCUACAUGAAGCCGGAAUCGCUAGUAAUCGCGGAUCAGCAUGCCGCGGUGAAUACGUUCCCGGGCCUUGUACACACCGCCCGUCACACCCCGAGAG
rnacentral:rRNA from 1 species